rnacentral:rRNA from 1 species
AUUGAACGCUGGCGGCAUGCCUUACACAUGCAAGUCGAACGGUAACGGGCCUUCGGGUGCCGACGAGUGGCGAACGGGUGAGUAAUGCAUCGGAACGUACCUUUCAGUGGGGGAUAACGUAGCGAAAGUUACGCUAAUACCGCAUAUUCUGUGAGCAGGAAAGCAGGGGAUCGCAAGACCUUGCGCUGAUUGAGCGGCCGAUGUCAGAUUAGCUAGUUGGUGAGGUAAAGGCUCACCAAGGCGACGAUCUGUAGCGGGUCUGAGAGGAUGAUCCGCUACACUGGAACUGAGACACGGUCCAGACUCCUACGGGAGGCAGCAGUGGGGAAUUUUGGACAAUGGGGGCAACCCUGAUCCAGCCAUGCCGCGUGAGUGAAGAAGGCCUUCGGGUUGUAAAGCUCUUUCGGCCGGGAAGAAAUCGUAUGGGCUAAUACCCUGUGCGGAUGACGGUACCGGCAUAAGAAGCACCGGCUAACUACGUGCCAGCCGCCGCGGUAACAC